rnacentral:tRNA from 1 species
GGGUAAAUAGCUCAGCAGUAGAGCUGCAUGAUUAGCAUGCAUGAGGUCCUGGGUUCAAUCCCCAGUACUGCCA